rnacentral:rRNA from 1 species
AAUGGGCGCAAGCCUGAUCCAGCCAUGCCACGUGAGUGAUGAAGGCCCUAGGGUCGUAAAGCUCUUUCGCCUGUGAAGAUAGUGACGGUAGCAGGUAAAGAAACCCCGGCUAACUCCGUGCCAGCAGCCGCGGUAAUACGGAGGGGGUUAGCGUUGUUCGGAAUUACUGGGCGUAAAGCGCGCGUAGGCGGAUUAGUAAGUCAGAGGUGAAAUCCCGGGGCUCAACCCCGGAACUGCCUUUGAUACUGCUAGUCUUGAGUUCGAGAGAGGUAAGUGGAAUUCCGAGUGUAGAGGUGAAAUUCGUAGAUAUUCGGAGGAACACCGGUGGCGAAGGCGGCUUACUGGCUCGAUACUGACGCUGAGGUGCGAAAGUGUGGGGAGCAACAGGAUU